AGAUUGUAACAUAUCACAUUUGAACUUUAGUCUCAUGACAUUGAAGUCAAGUCCCUAGACAUCUAACUACAUGGGCCUAUCUGUUCUGUUAUAAUCUGCCUGUCAGACUAGCAUGUUCAAGUAAAGCACAUGGACAGAACCAGAGGCAUACAUCUCAUCUGAACAACUAAAUGAGAAAGAAUAGGAAUUUUUAAGCAACAAAGGAUAAAUAUAGAAUUUAUAAUCAUGGACUUGAAUAUUGUCAAGACUUGCUGGCCAGGGCUUCAACAGCUGCAUGGCAUUCACUCUACCUACCCACAGUAUUCUACACCUAUGCAGACUCAUGUCGAAACUCUAUCUGCCAGAUAUAUUCAGCAUUAAUAUAGCUGAAUUAUUUUGUUAUAACAUCUUAAAUCAUAGUGAUAGAGGCACAAUAAAACACUGGAUAUUAUUUGUGAUAGAUUGGACAGAGGUGUUUUAUAGUGAUUGUAGUUAUCUUAAGUCAACAGCCUAUAGAACUAAACUGUGUCAGUCUGUUAUCAGCCAGUCUGUAGGUAACUGGCUUAACAAUAGUGCAACAUGCCUAAGAACAAUGAUCAUGAAGCUGAUGAGCCUCUAACUAAAAAGCAGCGUCACUCAAGCAGUAGCAACCAGUCAGAUAGCAGCUCUUCAUCUGCAUUUUCAAUACCCACACCUCCAGAUGGUGGAUGGGGAUGGAUAGUUGUGUUUGGCUCAUUCAUAUGCCAUCUCAUUGCCGAUGGAAUAGGCUUCUCAUUUGGAGUCAUCUAUGCAAACUUAUUAGAGCAGUUUGGAGAAUCUAAAGCUAAGACGUCAUGGGUUGCCUCUCUCUUCCUCUCUGUUCCCUUGAUUGCUGCACCCAUUGGAAGUGCACUCACUAACAAAUAUGGCUGUCGGACAGUCACCAUGUGUGGUGGAUUUGUUGCAAUGUUUGGAUUUUUCCUCAGUUAUUUUGUGACUUCCAUUGAGAUGCUAUGUGUAACAAUAGGACUUAUAUCUGGACUGGGUCUCUCUGUGGUAUAUGUUGCUGCAAUAAUUGUUGUUGCCUACUAUUUUGAGACAAAGCGAGCAUUUGCCACAGGCUUAGCUGUUAGUGGAUCUGGUAUAGGAACAUUUGUAUUUGCCCCACUGACUGAAUUCCUCAUGGGGAAGUAUGGAUGGAGAGGAACUAUCUUAAUACUGGGGGGUAUCAUGCUGAACAUUGUAGUUGCUGGGGCUCUUUUCAGACCUCUUGAAACCAAAAGAGAUAAAAAGCGUAAAAGAUAUCUCAGAUCAUUAGCAAAAUUUUCGAGACAGAACUCCACCAUAAGUAUGGACGAUAUAAACCAAAUACAUAUACCUUUGAAUGGUAGUGCCAGUAUAAAUGAUAAUUGUAUAGAUCUGGAUAUGCAAAAGCAUAGCAUGUUGAAUGAUCCUGUGACACAGUCCCUUAUGACUCUACCAACAUACUACCACAAUGAUCACAUCAAUAGAGAUGUGGAGGUAAUACAUGAAGACAAUGAUGAACACUUCAGUGGGAGUCUACCUCAUAUAGCAGACGACUCUUGCAAUGUCCUGGAAAUAUCACAGUCACACUCUGUCAGUCUCUGUGAUGAACAGUUCCCUAUUUGUAAUGUUCCACGUAAAAACUCACCAGAUAAGUUAAUCAAUAGUACUCCUGCAAUGAGCAAUGGACCCUGGAAACAAAAUACUAUAAGAAAAACCCCUGAUACAUUGACAAUACAACCAAUGUAUCGCAAAGAUAUAUUUUAUCGAGGCAGUUUAGUGAGAAUUCCUCGCUUUAAAACAUCAUCAAGUUGUCCAAAUAUCCACGUAAAAACCAAAACUGAGGCUACAGAUACCAACAUUUUGAGUAUAAUCUCUGUAUCUUCUGAAGUGAAACAGAUUCUCAAGGAAAUGAUGGACAUAACUAUUUUAAAGAAUUUGUCAUUCAUCAUGUUCUGUGUGUCUAACAUUAUCCUCUACAUGUGGUAUGAUGUUGUAUAUGUCUAUGUGACUGACAGAGCUAUCAACCAGGGUCACUCUGAGGCCCUCUCUUCACUUCUCAUCUCCAUCAUUGGUAUUGUUAAUACCAUCGGUCAAGUGAUCUUUGGAGUUAUUGGAGAUCAUCCCAAAGUUAACUCUCUGUUCCUCUACAUGACAGCUAUCAUAAUAUGUGGUGUAUCUGUUAUAGUAAUACCACUGUGUUACAACUAUCCAUUACUUGCCACAGCCACUGGAGGCUUUGGAUUCUUUAUUGCAUCAAACUAUUCAUUGACAACCAUUAUCCUGGUGGAUCUAGUUGGCAUGGGGAGACUAACUAAUGCUAUGGGUUUAGUCAUGAUGGCACAGGGGAUCAGUAACCUCAUUGGACCUCCUUUAGCAGGUAAAAUCUCUGAUGAUACCGGUUCAUAUGAUGCGGCUUUCUAUGCAUCAGGGGCAUUCAUAGUACUAUCUGGUGCUUUGCUGCUUCUUAUUCCCUGUUUAAGCACCUUGUGUAAAGGCACAGACACUGUAGUUGACACUGCUGAACAUCAGGCUCACUCUAAUGGAACUGCAAAGCACCAACCUUCCUCAAAUGGAACUAACGGAUACCAAUCUUCCUCAAAUGGAACUAAUGGGUAUAUACGAACAGACUUGAAUAAUAAAAAAGAGACAUCUGUUACAAUAACUGUGGUGUAGUACAUCUGUAAUGUAAUUUAUACAUCUGGGCUCAAUGAUAUUAUUACAUACCCUGGAAAGAUAUAUGGUUCAUAUUUUAGCCUGAACUUGUGUAUUAUAACGAUAUUGUUACCCUGGCAAUAGACUAAUACGCGAUAGACGAAAACAUGGUCAUUAACAUAAACAUCUCCCGCAAUGCAUCACUUCAACUGGGACAAAUUUUCAUUUUCAAUGUUAAUUCUC
rnacentral:misc_RNA from 1 species